GAAAUGCGAUACGUAAUGUGAAUUGCAGAAUCUCGUGAAUCAUUGAAUCUUUGAACGCACAUUGCGCCUUAUGGUAUUCCAUAAGGCAUGCCUGUCUGAGCGUCAGCUCCCCCCCACUCAAGCUCUUCUUGCUUGGAAUAUUUUGGAUAAGCAGCUUUGACCGGUUGCUGUUCACAAAUGCAUAGGCAGUAUGGUAGUUAAUCAAGCUGAGCGUAAUAAUUAAAAAAGUCACGUUCAAUAUUGGACUUAUUGUACUCGCCUCUUAACCCACAACUUUACAUUAUGGGUGACCUCAGAUCAGGUAGGGAUACCCGCUGAACUUAA
rnacentral:misc_RNA from 1 species